rnacentral:lncRNA from 1 species
UGGCAACCCACUCCAGUCCCCUUCUGCACUGUGGAAGCUUUGUUCUUUUGCUCUUUGCAAUAAAUCUUGCUACUGCUCACUCUUUGCGUCCACACUGCCUUUAUGAGCUGUAACACUCACUGCGAAGGUCUGCAGCUUCACUCCUGAAGCCAGCCAGACUACGAACCCACCGGGAGGAACGAACAACUCCAGAUGCGCCACCUUAAGAGCUGUAACACUCACCGCGAAGGUCCCGCAGCUUCACUCCUGAGCCAGCAAGACCACGAACCCACCAGAAGGAAGAAACUCCGAACACAUCUGAACAUCAGAAGGAACAAACUCUGGACACACUGCCUUUAAGAACUGUAAUACUCACCGUGAGGGCCCGCGGCUUCAUUCUUGAAGUCAGUGAGACCAAGAACCCACCAAUUCCAGACACAGUGGGAUCACAGAGAGAGCCAACAGUCCAGGCCAUGACAAGCUGGCACCCAGCUCUGCUUCACAUGGAUCAAACUGCAUCACGGAAGCUGCACACGAUGACACCCUGUCUGGAAAGUUUUUGCCAGAGGGCAAAAGACUGCAAGCAGAAUAUCCCUUUGCCAUUUCUCAUGUCAGGACUGGCCGUUGUCUGAAAGCAAACCUCAAGGACAGGACUUCUGGACUCCGCAGCCACUUCAGGCUGCUGCUCCAUCGCAUGAAUUCCAGCAGGUGGCGCUGCACCCCGCGCGGACCCGGCUUGCCUCUCGGCCCCAGGGAGGUCGGUUGAUGAGCAGUCGGGAAGUGGGUCUGCGCGCACCCCGCUGCAGCUGUGGCAAACGCAAACGAUGACACACAGGCUUGACGAGGGCCUUUGUCAGAAGCAAUGGGGAUCUGGCGUCACCGCACAAUGGAAAACAAAGUGCUUCUGCCUGGCUGGCCAGAAUGCACGUUUGCUCACUAUUGAUGCUGGGGCAUUUACAGGCAGAAUGAGUUCAUGUGAAAUUUCAGGAUCUGCCAUGACUCAGAUUCACUUUCUGUAAACCAGAGUCAACAUUACAUUUCCCUUUACUCUGGGCCAUUCCUUGAAUUUUUAGGUCACCAGUUGUUUUUGUACUAACUGAAGGGAUUUGAGUAUUUCACAAGCACCUUAUUUUUAUUAGCAUUUUUAGGGCAUUACCAAUUUGGGACGGAUCUGUAGUGUGAGAGAUUGUUGUCACUCUUAGCUCCAAACAUAGGUUGACUUUAUAUAUUAUUUACAUGUUCAGAAUUAUACUGUGUAGAAAUUCAAAUGAAACUUGCAAAAUACUUUUCUGGCAGGAAGCCCUGGAGAGGAUCGUUCAUGGAAACAAGGAUGACGACUGGGGUAAGAAAUGCAGGUGACUCGUGAGUGGUCAGGGAGUGGAAGAGAAGACGGCUGGAAGGUUUUAGCAUUCAGAAAAAAAAUGGAGACAACUAGAGUUGAUCUGAAGAUUAUGGCAGAAUUCAAUAUUGGGGGAAAGAAACAAGAUGGGGGUUAGAAAUUAGAAACAGCAGAGCUCCACAGGUUGGAAAGGUUGGAAAGGAUUUGAGCAAGAGAACAAGGAGCCUGCUAAUAGCACCCUGGGUUUACAUCAAGAGAAGCACCUGGAGAGAAUUAACUCGGGAGGAGGUGGGGGCAUGGGAAACCUUUUCAUCUCCAAGAGCGGGCAGGAACAGCAGCUGGCCUGAACUUGAAGGUACACCAGGUAGCUUGCGUGGGCCAGGAGAAGGUGAUUCUCUUCUAUGCCUCUCUCCAACGCCCUGCUUCUGAUGCUGCUCCUCUACCUGUAUUGAGGGGAAGAUACAUCCCUAAGAAGUUCCCUGAACCCCAUUCUUUGUUGUGGCUAACUGGUCCCCUUGGAAUUUUUCUACUAAUUUUCAAUUCCCCCUCUCACCUGGUGAAAUCUUGAAUCUUACUGUUCAAUAAAAGUUCUUCUACCGAAA